rnacentral:lncRNA from 1 species
AGAUCCCGGCCGAGAACGAGAGGGACGGAGCUGGGCGCUGAAUGGCGGGCGUUCUGGCAAGUCUCCCCCUGCGUUCCCGAGGCCACCCGAAAGUAGGAGAGCUGUUUGGGACCCAGUUUGGUGGAGGAGCUCUGGACCUGUAGGAACACCGCCCCUGACAGAAGUCGGUCCUAGGCCCCCCAGGCUCUGACCUUCUUUCCCAGGAUGAGGUGGGGCCACCAUUUGCCCAGGGCCUCUUGGGGCUCUGGUUUUAGAAGAGCACUCCAGCGACCAGGGCCUUUAUACGCCACCACGGAAGCUCGGUAGAUAGCGCUCCCCCACCCGGGAGGCAUGGACGGCUGUUCCCCAGCGCCUCUGCAACUGAAGCUAUACAGCGGCACCGCCGGAACCUGGCUGAGUGGUUCAGCCGGCUGCCCAGGGAGGAGCGCCAGUUUGGCCCAACCUUUGCCCUAGACACGGUCCACGUUGACCCUGUGAUCCGCGAGAGUACCCCUGAUGAGCUACUUCGCCCACCCGCGGAGCUGGCCCUGGAGCAUCAGCCACCCCAGGCCGGGCUCCCCCCACUGGCCUUGUCUCA